ACUGUAAUUGCUGGAUUGUAUGGCACAUCCAUUUUUAGUUUUAAAAGAAACUUCCAAACUAUUUUUUAGAAUGGAUGUGCCAUUUACAUUCCUACCAGCAAU
rnacentral:pre_miRNA from 1 species